ensembl:misc_RNA Metazoa_SRP Metazoan signal recognition particle RNA
GCUGGGCGUGGUGGUGCGUGCCUGUAAUCCCAGCUACUCGGGAGGCCGAGGCAGGAGAAUUGCCUGAACCCAGGAGGCCAGAGGUUGUGGUGAGCCGAGAUUGCACCAUUGCACUCCAGCCUCGGUAGCAAGAGCGAAACUCUGUCUCAAAAAUAAAUAAAUAAAAUAAAAUUUUGCUGUAGAGAUGGGGGUCUGGCAAUGUUACCCUGGCUGGUCUAUUUUUUUUUUUUUUUGAGACGGAGUUUCGCUCUCGUUCCCCAGGCUGGAGUGCAAUGGCGCGAUCUCGGCUCACCACAACCUCCGCCUCCUGGGUUCAGGCAAUUCUCCUGCCUCAG